AGGGAACUGAAGGACUAGAAAAGUAAAUUCCAGGAGAGGUGUAGAUCAUGCGGUGAUCCAGAAGUAGAUUGUAACCAUGGGAACGCGGCUUUCUUUUACUCCAGGAAGUCCCGCUUCGUAAACAAAUAUCUGAAUGCCGUAAUGAUGCGAAUACGUCUCACUAUACUGGCAAGUGUCAGUAUUUCAUUUUCAUGAAUAAUGCGAUAGUUGCUUGCCUGUACUUUAACAGCUAUAACUACGGCGACUUUAGUGCUAUUUAGUCGAAAUGAAAACUCCGGCACUACAAGAUGAAAAUGAAUGUGAUGAUAAACAAAACUGUUACCCAACGCGAUGGAAAAAUCAAAUAGGUUACACUAUGGAUACGGAGGGUGAUGAGAGAUCAUUCCCCUCAUUUCCACCUGCACAAGAACUGUUAAUGCACCAACAGCGUUUUCGUGGGAAUGGAGGAGAACAAGGAAACAACAACCAAAAGAGAGGGACGUAUACUGCUGCAUCAGCAUCUGAUGGACAGUUUAGACCACUUCAAAAGACACAGGAUUGCAAGGAGUCACUGAUACCAAACACAGCUCGACAGAAACUUUUAAUGUCACUUCACAAGCAUUCCCUCAGGAAAGAAGUUCUUAUACACUGGUCAACCAAGAGAAGUUUACGAUCAUAUAGAAGAAUGUCAUCCUUGGAGGCAGGCAACUCAGACAGAGAAUGUAAUCUCUGGAAUUAAAUUGGAUGCAGUCUGGAGCAUCAAAAGAGACAUUUUUUUAGGUGACAUGAAACCUGUAAUUCAGACUAGAAACAUAUCACUUCCUGCAUCUAAGUACUACUCUAGAUACGAGGCCUUCAGAAAUAAAGAUGGCAUUCAGAAAGAAUUUUGCUUUCUGCCCAAGAUUUCAGGUAGUAUGCAGACCAAUAAACAGCUUCCAAAGUCCCAAGAAAACAAGAAGCACACAGAACAGUAUCAGGAUGACCAAGAUAAUGAAUUUGACUUUUAAGUACUCUUCUCUUGCCAUUUUUGUCAACGUUUUAAUAUUUUAUGUUAACCACAACUCAUAUUUGUUAAUAAAAUUAAACAUCAAUUCUGAAAUAAAGUGUGUACUACUGUU